rnacentral:rRNA from 1 species
CCCUUAGAUGUUCUGGGCUGCACGCGCGCGACAAUGACGUUUGCAACGAGAUUGCGAGGCCGUCAGGUCGAGCUGAUCUUGCAAGCUGCGUCGUGAUAGGGACAGUCGAUUGCAAUUAUUCGACUCGAACGAGGAAUUCCUUGUAAUCGCGCAUCAUCAGUGCGCGCUGAAUACGUCCCUGCCCUUUGUACACACCACCCGUCGCUCCUACCGAUUGAGUGAUCCGGUGAAUGUUUUGGAUCGGCUUCAAGUUGGUUCGCGCCUCUUGCUUGCUGUGAAAUCAUGUAAACCUUAUUGCUUAGAGGAAGGAGAAGUCGUAACA